rnacentral:rRNA from 1 species
AUACGUAGGUGGCAAGCGUUGUCCGGAUUUACUGGGCGUAAAGGGCGUGUAGGCGGAGAUGCAAGUCAGGAGUGAAAUCUAGGGGCUCAACCCCUAAACUGCUUUUGAAACUGUAUCCCUUGAGUGAUGGAGAGGCAGGCGGAAAUCCCGGGGUAGCGGUGGAAGGCAUAGAGAAAGGAAGGAACACCAGUGGCGAAGGCGGCCUGCUGGACAUUAACUGACGCUGAGGCGCGAAAGUGUGGGGAGCAAACAGGAUAAGAUCCCCUGGUAGUCCACCCCGUAACCGAUAGAGACUAGGUGUGGGGGGUUUGACCCCCUCCGUGCCGGAGUUAACACAAUAAGUAUCCCGCCUGGGGAGUACGAUCGCAAGAUUGAAACUCAAAUGAAUUGACGGGG